rnacentral:rRNA from 1 species
GACGAACGCUGGCGGCGUGCCUAAUACAUGCAAGUAGAACGCUGAAGAGAGGAGCUUGCUCUUCUUGGAUGAGUUGCGAAUGGGUGAGUAACGCGUAGGUAACCUGCCUUGUAGCGGGGGAUAACUAUUGGAAACGAUAGCUAAUACCGCAUAACAAUGGAUGACACAUGUCAUUUAUUUGAAAGGGGCAAUUGCUCCUCUACAAGAUGGACCUGCGUUGUAUUAGCUAGUAGGUGAGGUAAUGGCUCACCUAGGCGACGAUACAUAGCCGACCUGAGAGGGUGAUCGGCCACACUGGGACUGAGACACGGCCCAGACUCCUACGGGAGGCAGCAGUAGGGAAUCUUCGGCAAUGGGGGCAACCCUGACCGAGCAACGCCGCGUGAGUGAAGAAGGUUUUCGGAUCGUAAAGCUCUGUUGUAAGUCAAGAACGGGUGUGAGAGUGGAAAGUUCACACUGUGACGGUAGCUUACCAGAAAGGGACGGCUAACUACGUG